rnacentral:tRNA from 1 species
UGGGCCUGUAACUCAGCUUGGUAGAGUACCCGACUCAUAAUCGGGGAGCCACGGGAUCGAAGCCCAUCAGGCCCAUC